UCCAGACUCCUACGGGAGGCAGCAGUGAGGAAUAUUGGUCAAUGGCCGAGAGGCUGAACCAGCCAAGUCGCGUGAGGGAAGACGGCCCUACGGGUUGUAAACCUCUUUUGUCGGGGAGCAAAGCGAACCACGUGUGGUUCAUUGAGAGUACCCGAAGAAAAAGCAUCGGCUAACUCCGUGCCAGCAGCCGCGGUAAUACGGAGGAUGCGAGCGUUAUCCGGAUUUAUUGGGUUUAAAGGGUGCGCAGGCGGCGUGUUAAGUCAGGGGUAAAGGCCCGGGGCCCAACCCCGGGGAGCCGUUGAAACUGGCGGGCUGGAGUUGGAGAGAAGUACGCGGAAUGCGCGGUGUAGCGGUGAAAUGCUUAGAUAUCGCGCAGAACCCCGAUUGCGAAGGCAGCGUACCGGCUCCACACUGACGCUGAGGCACGAAAGCGCGGGUAUCGAACAGGAUUAGAUACCCUCGUACGG
rnacentral:rRNA from 1 species